rnacentral:rRNA from 1 species
UACGUAGGGGGCAAGCGUUGUCCGGAAUUAUUGGGCGUAAAGCGCGCGCAGGCGGUUCUUUAAGUCUGGUGUUUAAACCUGGGGCUCAACUUCAGGUCGCACUGGAAACUGGGGAACUUGAGUGCAGAAGAGGAGAGUGGAAUUCCACGUGUAGCGGUGAAAUGCGUAGAUAUGUGGAGGAACACCAGUGGCGAAGGCGACUCUCUGGGCUGUAACUGACGCUGAGGCGCGAAAGCGUGGGGAGCAAACAGG